GACGAACGCUGGCGGCGUGCCUAAUACAUGCAAGUAGAACGCACAGUUUAUACCGUAGCUUGCUACACCAUAAACUGUGAGUUGCGAACGGGUGAGUAACGCGUAGGUAACCUGCCUGGUAGCGGGGGAUAACUAUUGGAAACGAUAGCUAAUACCGCAUACUAUUGAUUAUUGCAUGGUAAUUUAUUGCAAGAUGCUAUUGCAUCACUACCAGAUGGACCUGCGUUGUAUUAGCUAGUAGGUGAGGUAACGGCUCACCUAGGCGACGAUACAUAGCCGAACUGAGAGGGCGAGCAGCCAGACUGAGACGGUGACCCGGCCCAGACUCCCUCAGGAGGGAGCAGGAGUGAAACUGCAGGAAGGGGCGGAAGACUGUCCGAGCUACGCCGAGGGAGGAAAGAAGGAUGUCGGGUCGGAGAGCUCGGUUGUAAGGGAAGAACGGGUGUGAGAGUGUAAAGUUCACACUGUGACGGUAUCGUAUCAGAAAGGGACGGCUAACUACGUG
rnacentral:rRNA from 1 species